UGCUGAUUGGCCUUCGUCUCCCCUCUGCCCAGGGAUCUCGGGAACCGGGGGAGAUGUUGCCACGGAAGCUGAAGCG
ensembl:snoRNA Gm22394 predicted gene, 22394